CCCCAGAUGCCUCUCGCCCCACGGUUCGAGCGGCGGCGCAGAGGCACGAACGGCUGCUUCCCGCCCACACGCGGCGGGCUUCAAGCGGGCGAGCAGAGGCUCCUCCAGCACAGGGGUGACCCGCGCAGGUGCCCGCGCUGAAAUCGGGCUGUGGGGUUUGCACCUAGUCAUGGUUCCCUGACUCGGCCACGUUAAUCCCCUGGCUUCACAGCAGCAGGUUACGGGAGAUAGGGGCCCUGCUAAUGAGAGGUAAAAAUGCGCCCUCACAGCUCUGAGUUGGUUCUUGUUCAGCACUGGAAGCCGCUGCGUAGCAGCAGUGUGCUGAGGAGUCCCAUCUGGUCUGCGUUUCUCUAGGCUGUGUUUUUGGAUUUGUUCAGCUCAUUGACUUCUGUUGCCCUCCGCAAGAUGAAGCUUAAGCAGGCAAAUGCUCUUUUCCUCUCCCACUGGAAUCACCACCUUGCUACCUUGGACAUUCACCCAAGUAGGAUGCUGUGAAAAGUCAGCAUGCUUUAAAAUGGGUGGGGGUCUUUUUCUUCAUUGGUUUGUUUUGGGGUUUUGUUUGCUUUCUUUGAUUAAAAGCCAAGAGUUUUCCUGGCAGUAUCAUGUAGAAACUGCAUUUUUGUGCUGCACGGGUGGGACUGCAUUAUCGUCAAGCUCAGCGAAGGUCCUUAAGCGUGCAGCAGCCGUGCGUUUGCUACAACGGGUCACCGCAGGGGAGGGGGAGCCUCUUUACUGUGAUUCCCCAAGUUUUGCUGUGGAAAUCAAGGCACAGUCAGAUGCAGGCAGUAGUAAGUCAAAGCUGUCUGCUUGUGGUAGCUGCCAUCUCUGAACUCUGCUGAUUGAUACGCGAUGCCUUCUGUUCACUCUUUGGUGUUUCUACAACGUUAAGCAUUCAGAUCUUCAACUUUAAAAGCCUACCCCAACUUAACACAGAGCUUCUGAUGCAUCUCUAACUAGGGAGGAUAAUUAGAUGAACCAAGCACAUGACAUUCCACUAAGGAUACUCUCUGUGGCAAAUCUUUGAAAAGCAAGAUAAAUACUCCCACCGGAAUACGCAAAGAAGCAAUAACCAUAUGGGGAUUUGAUACUGAGUAUAUCAGAGAAAUUAAAAAAAUCUAUCUCAGGACAAUUCAACAUAUGGUAGGCAUCAGCAAGCCUUAGACAUUCUCAGCUUGGGCUGUGUGUUCCUUACACAGGCCACAGAAAACAUGCUAAUGCCGGGGAAAAAAUUUGGAAUAUCAAAGCCUGCACGAGUUAAAAGCAGCUCAACAUGUGGGCACGGCAAGUAACCCGUGGAGCAACACGAACAGUGUAGUACAAUGCAAGCUGAUGCUUCUAACAGCUGGUAACAGACACAAGGAUGCAGACACUUGAGUUCCCACCGCCUGCAGCUUGGCCUUCUGAGCACCAGCAUUUGCGUUACAAAGGAAAAAGUAAUCAGGCCUUUCUGCAGGAAAAUAGGUCAUUACACGAAGGGAUAGUUAGAAUUUCUCUUUGCCUGAGUCAUCUACUAUGCUGAUCGCCAUGGCUUCUGAAAAGGGACUUUAAACAACUAUUGAACUGCUGGCGGUUUUCUCACCCUCCCCUUUCCCACCUCAUCUCUUGGGAAUUGCUUCCUGAUGCUUUCUCUUCUGUCCGGGACCACCAACAGGUCAUGUAUGUUUUAUAGAACUCUAUCUUCAAUUGAGGCAUCAGACACCGGUCCCUGCUGACAGAGCAGCAGAUGGGUGACAACAUCCCCGAGAGUUCCCUCUCUUUCUGGAGGCAGUUCACAGAUUCCCAGAGUGGUCAGAUUUGUUUUGUAAUGCACUGUCUAUCACUCGGUGAAAGCGAGUUAGCAGUUUUCCAGGUAAUUCCCCCACCUCCCUGCUAACAGCUCUGAUAGGGGCCCCUGGAGAAUUAACCAUUAAGCAAACAUCUGUGUACUUCCUAUCUGUCAGCAUCUCAACAGCUUCAGAAGCGGAGGCUGACAUGAAGGACCUGCCAGGUUUACCAGAUCCCAAAUUCUGAAGCAUCUGAGAUGAGGAGGAACUCUGAGUCAACAGUGAUAAAGAUCUAGCGAGAUACCGAACUGCACAAAGUAGCAAACUGCUGUUUCCCUAAGUGUAUUACGUUUACCUUGAUACAAUGUAUGUCAAUCUUUACAAUAGAGAUUUCCCUUGAGAACCUACUGGGAUUAGUAUUGUCAUUUCUCUAGU